ensembl:snRNA U6 U6 spliceosomal RNA
GUGCUCGCUUCGGCAGCACAUAUACUAAAACUGGAACAAUACAGAGAAGAUUAGCAUGGCCGCUGUGCAAGGAUGACAUGCAAAUUCGUGAAGUGUUCCAUAUUUAA